GACGAACGCUGUCGGCGUGCUUAACACAUGCAAGUCGAACGGAAAGGCCCUGCUUUUGUGGGGUGCUCGAGUGGCGAACGGGUGAGUAACACGUGAGUAACCUGCCCUUGACUUUGGGAUAACUUCAGGAAACUGGGGCUAAUACCGGAUAGGAGCUCCUGCUGCAUGGUGGGGGUUGGAAAGUUUCGGCGGUUGGGGAUGGACUCGCGGCUUAUCAGCUUGUUGGUGGGGUAGUGGCUUACCAAGGCUUUGACGGGUAGCCGGCCUGAGAGGGUGACCGGCCACAUUGGGACUGAGAUACGGCCCAGACUCCUACGGGAGGCAGCAGUGGGGAAUAUUGCACAAUGGGCGGAAGCCUGAUGCAGCAACGCCGCGUGCGGGAUGACGGCCUUCGGGUUGUAAACCGCUUUCGCCUGUGACGAAGCGUGAGUGACGGUAAUGGGUAAAGAAGCACCGGCUAACUACGUGCCAGCAGCCGCGGUGAUACGUAGGGUGCGAGCGUUGUCCGGAUUUAUUGGGCGUAAAGGGCUCGUAGGUGGUUGAUCGCGUCGGAAGUGUAAUCUUGGGGCUUAACCCUGAGCGUGCUUUCGAUACGGGUUGACUUGAGGAAGGUAGGGGAGAAUGGAAUUCCUGGCGGAGCGGUGGAAUGCGCAGAUAUCAGGAGGAACACCAGUGGCGAAGGCGGUUCUCUGGGCCUUUCCUGACGCUGAGGAGCGAAAGCGUGGGGAGCGAACAGGCUUAGAUACCCUGGUAGUCCACGCUGUAAACGGUGGGUACUAGGUGUGGGGUCCAUUCCACGGGUUCCGUGCCGUAGCUAACGCUUUAAGUACCCCGCCUGGGGAGUACGGCCGCAAGGCUAAAACUCAAAGGAAUUGACGGGGCCCCGCACAAGCGGCGGAGCAUGCGGAUUAAUUCGAUGCAACGCGUAGAACCUUACCUGGGUUUGACAUGGAUCGGGAGUGCUCAGAGAUGGGUGUGCCUCUUUUGGGGUCGGUUCACAGGUGGUGCAUGGCUGUCGUCAGCUCGUGUCGUGAGAUGUUGGGUUAAGUCCCGCAACGAGCGCAACCCUUGUUCACUGUUGCCAGCACGUUAUGGUGGGGACUCAGUGGAGACCGCCGGGGUCAACUCGGAGGAAGGUGGGGAUGACGUCAAGUCAUCAUGCCCCUUAUGUCCAGGGCUUCACGCAUGCUACAAUGGCUGGUACAGAGAGUGGCGAGCCUGUGAGGGUGAGCGAAUCUCGGAAAGCCGGUCUCAGUUCGGAUUGGGGUCUGCAACUCGACCUCAUGAAGUCGGAGUCGCUAGUAAUCGCAGAUCAGCAACGCUGCGGUGAAUACGUUCCCGGGGCU
rnacentral:rRNA from 1 species